AACGAGACGGGGAGGGACCUACCUACAUAAACUCCCAAGUUUUGAUAAACUUGACCAAUAAAGUCUCGUUUUCGUUGCAAAACGUUUUCCGUUUGAAGUAAACGGUUUCAGUAAAGAAGAAUGCGACUUUUUUUACUGACGCUGUGGGACGUGAUAUUGCGGAAGAUACACACACACGCCACAAAUGAACUCUGCAAAGCACGUUGGUGGGUGUGAUAACUGCGGGCUGAAGUCUACAGCGGCGCUUGCCUGUCAGUGCCAGUGACGUGGAGAGGCAGAAGUCAAGCAACUCUUCUGAUUUCUCAAGACAAUAGAAGAUUCGAAAUUGGUAUUUAUUGUCGACUUGGCAUCGCGGGCAACCUUUAAAAGUGGACCUUAUUGCGCCAGCGAACGAAGCACGUGGCUUCACAGGGAGAGGGGAAGAUGCAAAAAGCUUGUCAGUGUAUGACAGUCAUGGCUCAACAUUUGCACCUCUGGUGGUCAUCGAGUUGGUUUCGGAAACCAAAGAGGAAGCCAUCGCAUGGUUACUAAACAGGGUCAGAGACAAGCAGCAAGAUGGAGGGGCUGAGCUGCUGGUGGAGCAGCUGACUCCAGGGGCCCAGGGCACGGAGAAGGACAACCC